rnacentral:lncRNA from 1 species
GAGAGAGAGAGAGAGAGAGAGAGAGAGAGAGAGCAAACGAGGAGAGAGAGAGCGCGCAACUCUAGCAAGUUAAGCACUAUAUAUAUUCAAGCACACUUAAUCAUACACAUUCCAUUACCUUUGCCACAAUCUACUUCUUAUGAAGAAGUCAAAGGUCCCACCCACACACAAGAGGAAAGCAUCUCAUAGAAGCUUGGCUACUGGAAGUGUGAAAUUUUGUACCAGAUGAACAACUGAAGAGAGGACCAUUUAAUUAACAGUAAUGUUUAACUAACUGAUCAUCACCAUACCCAGAAGAAGGCCCGCUGCACUUAGUAGAUGUGUCAAUCUUCAUAUACAGCAGCUUGGUUGUCCAUGAUGACUGCCCACCUGACGAGUCAGCCAUCCACUAUGAACGUUAGAGUGUUUUACGGACACCCUUUGCUGGAGGCAUCCAGGACCCAGAAGACUAUCUGACAUCUGGACAUCAGAGUGGGAAAUUGUCAAGGGCUUUCAGUUUGGUCACUGUGACAUGAUCCCUUUCAUGAUCCAUGCCAUUUCCCUUUUAUUGCCCAGAUAAUUCAGCUGCAAGGUUUUGUAAUGAACAAACUCUCAUUAACAUCUUUCUUAUGGAAAUUUAGAGAACAAGGAUAUUUGUUAAGUGGUGUUUAGAUGCAAUUUCCCCCCAGUUGGCAAUUCCGCUAAAUAAAUAAAUGUGUUCUACAAACAAGUGGUGG